AGAUCAUCCCAUUUUCAACUUUAUUUGAGUUGUUAUUGUGCAGUUUUACUAACUUGCCAAUUUGAUAUCUUAUUAAUACUGUUGAUUGAUCUUUGGUAAGCACCAUUGUGACAGCUUGGGUAUCAAAAUAGUAAUUCUUUGAUAUAGGAGGAUUUCUAUGCUAAUUUGAUUUUCAAAUAGCUCCAUAUUAGGAUUUGGGCGUACCUCUAUGUCAUGUUUAUUUAGAAAUGUUCCUCUUUUUAUCUUAUUUUUUGUGUGCUAGCUUUAUCAUUGUAACAUAAAUUUUAAUUGGAUUUCUCUUUUCCAUGAUUAUAUGGAAUAUUUAUUAAAAGUAUGAAAAUAGAAAUAUUUUAACAAUAAGAGUAUUUAAAAAAAUUUGUUGUCUUUUCCUUAAGAAAAAAUAUUAAAAAUUGAGAUUUUAAAGAAAAUAUUGGAAUUUAUCGGUUUCAAUGGUAAUUUCUAAGUUGAUGGUACUUAAAAGAAUACUUACAUGCUCUUUCUUAAGUUCUAUUUAUAUUCUUAAACCUCGCUAUGAAUAUAUCAAAAGACAUCAAUCCUACCUAAAUCUCUUCAGAUUUUUAUCACUUCUCACCAAUUCACUCAAAUAAAAAGUUUAUUAUAAAAUUGAUUUUUUUUAAUAAAUCUAUCAAGUCAGAUUUGAUACACAAUAUUUUAAGGUGUUAAGGGAUGUAACGCGGCUUUAAUUAGGAUGAGAUAAAUUUGAGAAAAUAGACUAAUUCUCAAAGUUAUGCCCUAAAUGACUUCAUUUAUCCAUUCUAAGGGUUUAUGCACUAAAUCAUAAAUCCUAAACCCUAAAUUACGGUUUAGAAUAUAAGAUUUAUGGUUUAGGAUUUAGGAAAAUCGUUAAUGAUCUUUCUUGGAUUCUUUAUGAGAAAAUUUUCACGAGACUAUUUUAAUGUUUUAUUUAAACGCUUCACAUGUUAUAUUUUUUUUUACAUAAUCACAUGUUAUACUGGUUAACUUACAAAAUAUGGCAUAAGCUUUUAUAACAAUGAUAUAAAUUUUAAAAUCACACAUUUUAAUAUUAAAACCACAAAUUUUGCAUGAAAUUGUUUCUUUACUUAAUCUAACUGACUUUCUAACAUAACUAAACAAUACCUCAUUAUUAUAACACAACCAAAUAGUAUAACUUUUAUUACAAUGACUUAUCAUGUAUUCCUAAUUAUUAUUCCAUUUUUUAGAAUCCUCAAUAUGUAUGAUAUAAGGGUAAAAGAGAAUAAAAACAUAAAAAAAAAGUUGUAAAAAUAAAAAUCCUAAUGACCAUUAAUAUUUUAAAAUCUUAUAUUUACUAUUGUUAAUAGAUGAGUUUAAAAGACAAAUUCAACAUAUAAAUACUAAUUAAAAGUAUUUAAUUUUCAUUUAUAUUUUUGGAAUGGUUUUUUGCAACAUCGUAAUUGCUAACACUAUUUUAUUGAAUCUAAGAAACACAUUGAGUCAUCUAACAAAUAUUUAAACAUAGUUUAAAUUUGAAGAAUGAGAGUUUUCACAUUAUAAAGUUAUACAAAUAAUUUGGUAAUUUUUCUUAUCACGCAAAAAAAUAUGUCUAAUGUUCUUAAGUUCGUUUAUGUUAUGAUUAUUUUUCUUUUCUUAAUCAUCAAAAGUUCAUGUUACAUUCGUAAGUCUGCUUUGUUUAUUUUUAUCGUUCAAUUUUUCAUCUUUAUUAUAUAGAAAUUGUUUUAUUCCUUAUUAUUAAUAUUCAUUUUUUUCUUUUUGGAUAUCUUAACAUUGGAUUUAUGCAGUUCUGAUAAAGAUUGUCCUCCUAGCGUUUGUGGUUUUACUAAAGCCGGAAAGUGCAUAGACCACAUUUGUGAAUGUAUAUAAAAGUUAUGGUAUCCAUAACAUAAAUUCAUAUCAAAAAUAAAUUGUGAUACUUCUAUUAUUUCUCUCACACUUUAAUCGGUGUUCCUUUAAAUUUAGUUAAUCAAAACUUACAAGAAUGUUUUUAUAUUAUGCAAGAGCGGUUAUAUUUUUCUAAAUAGUUAAAACUAUCAUUUUUUUAAUACAUACUUACUUAAAAACAGUGUGGAAUACGAGUUAAUUAAUUAUCAUAAAAAUUUGUGAAUCUCUACUAAUAAUAUUAUCUCAAAUUUUAAUAAUAUUUGUAUUUGAUUGAAAUAUAAAAUAAAUUCCAAACUUUAAAAGCAUCUUCUUUCAACGACAUUAACAUGCAAAUGUAAAACUACUUACAUGAUCUAAUAACAAAGAAGGUUAACUUUUCACUACACAAUUACAUAUAUUUGUAAAAAAUAUAUAAUGUUUGAGUGAUAUUUGACAUAUUUAACUCUAAGAAUAAAGAAAAGUAGUAUUUUAAACAAAAUCCAAUAAAAGUAGUUGUUUGGUAAUUUAUGAAUGUAAUAUAAGGGUAUCACACAGAACACAAUAACUCUAUUCUAAGUACCACUUAUAGAUUCAGCUACACUAUCUAAUCUAAUGAAUUACUUUCCUUAAUAAUUCUGUUUGGUAAUUUAUGAAUGUAAUAUAAAACUGUGUCAACAAAACCACACUGUAGUACGAGGAAGGCAUUAACAUCUGAUAAAAUUAAAGAGAGAGUAUUUGGGAUGAGAAAUGAACACAGUAUAAUAUUAAUGUUAGAUCCACAAAAGGAAAUAGAUUGUGUUGUGAUAUAACUAUGAGAAUAAUUAAACUAUGUUAAUCAUCUAAAUAUAUUUGAGGGAAACUUUUAAUCCCACAUUCAAAUUCUUUUCAUUUUUCUUGUGGUUUAUGGCUUUGAAAUUGUAAUGUUCCCUCUUUAACCUUGACUAUAUUACAAAAUAGUUAACAAUGACUUCAUCGUCAAAUAACUUUCUUCGCUAUUUACAUUAUCAAAUGAUCCUAAAAUAAUCGCAAGAAGGUUUAUGGCAUUUAAAAUACCUCAUAUCACAACUCAUUAUGCCUUAUCUCUAGAAAUCAUAAACAAUCUCACAAUCCUAUUUGGUUACGGUAUAGAAAUCUAUGGUUAGUUCUCUUUGCUACCUAAAUCGAUUCUACAUAUUACGUAAACCGAAAAAAGACUAUAUCUAAGCAAAAUUGAAUAAUUAUAAGAGAAGAUUAAUUUAGAGAGAACAAAAUGAAUCAAAUCACAUGAUUCACAAUAUUGAGAAACUUUUAUCUAAAGAAG
rnacentral:lncRNA from 1 species